GCCCCCGUAGCUCAAUGGGACAGAGCGCCGGACUUCGAAUCCGUAGGUUGCGCGUUCGAGUCGCGCCGGGGGCGCCU
rnacentral:tRNA from 1 species